rnacentral:rRNA from 1 species
UACGUAGGGUGCAAGCGUUGUCCGGAAUUAUUGGGCGUAAAGAGCUCGUAGGCGGUUUGUCGCGUCUGCUGUGAAAACCCGAGGCUCAACCUCGGGCCUGCAGUGGGUACGGGCAGACUAGAGUGCGGUAGGGGAGAUUGGAAUUCCUGGUGUAGCGGUGAAAUGCGCAGAUAUCAGGAGGAACACCGAUGGCGAAGGCGGGUCUCUGGGCCGUAACUGACGCUGAGGAGCGAAAGCAUGGGGAGCGAACAGG